UCCCUUGUAGCUCAGUUGGUAAAGAGUCUGCCUGCAAUGCAGGAGACCCGGGUUCAAUCCCUGGGUCAGGAA
rnacentral:tRNA from 1 species